GGUGCUAUAGCUCAGUAGUAGAGCAUCUCCUUUGCAUGCAGAAGGAUGCAGGUUCAAUCCCCAGCAUCU